AUUAAUCAAACAUCUUUUACAGUUAUCGGAGCAACUUAGAAGGUCAUCUUCGCAAGAAAACUCAUGGCAUGCCAACCAUCUCCACUCCUGUAACCCCAGGCAACUCUGUUGUGGUGAGGCUAUUACCUCACAGUGAGGUUUAUAGAUCGAAACAUGUACCACUGCUAUCCGAAAGGGGGCAAAAGGAGACAACUUGAUGUAUGACCUCAUUGACAAGAUGUUCACCAUUACCAAACUGGCGAACUCCAUGGGGAACUGGUAUUGGGAAACCUCGCCCUGGUGAGGCAAGAGAGCAUAUAUAUGCUUGGCCACUGGCAAUACUCGAAGAUAGAGUAUGUGAUAUGACGGAAAAUGCUGCCUGAAGUAGAUUUAAAUCUGGCCACCACUAAGAGGAACACGUAUGGGCGAUAAAUACCUGAUUGAUGAACAAUAAGGAAGUACUAAUUCUACUGUGAAGUGAGACUGGAAUUACUUUUUAU